rnacentral:rRNA from 1 species
CCUACGGGAGGCUGCAGUGAGGAAUAUUGGUCAAUGGGCGCGAGCCUGAACCAGCCAUGCCGCGUGAAGGUCAGUGCCCUAUGGGCGUUAAACUUCUUUUGUGCGGGAGCAAUAAUGGUCACGUGUGGCCAGACGAGAGUACCGUACGAAUAAGCAUCGGCUAACUCCGUGCCAGCAGCCGCGGGAAUACGGGGGAUGCAAGCGUUAUCCGGAUUUAUUGGGUUUUAAGGGUGCGUAGGCUGUGAGGUAAGUCAGCGGUGAAAUGCCCCCGCUCAACGGGGUGAAGUGCCAUUGAUACUGCCUAGCUGGAAUGCGGAUGCCGUGGGAGGAAUGUGUGGUGUAGCGGUGAAAUGCAUAGAUAUCACACAGAACACCGAUUGCGAAGGCAUCUCACGAAUCCGCGAUUGACGCUGAUGCACGAAAGCGUGGGUAUCAAACAGGAUUAGAUACCCCAGUAGUC